UACAGAGGGGGCAAGCGUUGUUCGGAAUUACUGGGCGUAAAGGGCUCGUAGGCGGCCAACUAAGUCAUACGUGAAAUCCCUCGGCUUAACCGGGGAACUGCGUGUGAUACUGGAUGGCUUGAGUUCGGGAGAGGGAUGCGGAAUUCCAGGUGUAGCGGUGAAAUGUGUAGAUAUCUGGAGGAACACCGGUGGCGAAGGCGGCAUCCUGGACCGACACUGACACUGAGGAGCGAAAGCCAGGGGAGCAAACGGG
rnacentral:rRNA from 1 species